rnacentral:rRNA from 1 species
AGUGGCGGACGGGUGAGUAACACGUGGGCAACCUGCCUUAUGGAGGGGGAUAACACAAAGAAAUUUGUGCUAAUACCGCAUAAAACUAAUGCUUCGCAUGGAGUGCUAGUCAAAGAUUUAUCGCCAUAAGAUGGGCCCGCGGCGCAUUAGCUAGUUGGUGAGGUAACGGCUCACCAAGGCGACGAUGCGUAGCCGACCUGAGAGGGUGAUCGGCCACAUUGGGACUGGGACACGGCCCAGACUCCUACGGGAGGCAGCAGUGGGGAAUAUUGCACAAUGGGGGAAACCCUGAUGCAGCAACGCCGCGUGAGCGAUGAAGGCCUUCGGGUUGUAAAGCUCUGUCUUCAGGGACGAUAAUGACGGUACCUGAGGAGGAAGCCACGGCUAACUACGUGCCAGCAGCCGCGGUAAUACGUAGGUGGCAAGCGUUGUCCGGAAUUAUUGGGCGUAAAGGAUGCGUAGGCGGCCUUUUAAGUGGGAUGUGAAAUACCCGGGCUUAACCCGGGAAUGGCAUUCCAAACUGGAAGGCUAGAGUGCAGGAGAGGAAAGUGGAAUUCCCAGUGUAGCGGUGAAAUGCGUAGAGAUUGGGAGGAACACCAGUGGCGAAGGCGACUUUCUGGACUGUAACUGACGCUGAGGCAUGAAAGCGUGGGGAGCAAACAGGAUUAGAUACCCUGGUAGUCCACGCC